rnacentral:rRNA from 1 species
GUAGGNGGCAAGCGUUNUCCGGAUUUACUGGGUGUAAAGGGNGCGUAGGCGGAAANACAAGUCAGAUGUGAAAUCUAUGGGCUUAACCCAUAAACUGCAUUUGAAACUAUNUUCCUUGAGUGNNGGAGAGGCAAGCGGAAUUCCUAGUGUAGCGGUGAAAUGCGUAGAUAUUAGGAGGAACACCAGUGGCGAAGGCGGCUUGCUGGACAUUAACUGACGCUGAGGCGCGAAAGCGUGGGGAGCAAACAGGAUUAGAUACCCCGGUAGUCCACGCCGUAAACGAUGAAUACUAGGUGUGGGGGGACUGACCCCCUCCGUGCCGGAGUUAACACAAUAAGUAUUCCACCUGGGGAGU